AAAAAAAAAAAAGGAAAAUAAAAUCCAGGAAAUCACUUGAUUGAUGAGAAUUCUGUCAUCGGUUCUUUGAUUUUGGAAAAAUUGACAAGUCACUUCAGCUGGUGUCAUCUCUCCUCACACAAGACCUUGAAAUGUGCCAUGGGAGCUGCAGAUGGAACUGAUUGAGCUCCAAUGUCAUAAUGUCUUAAAAGAGAAGUUAAACUCUCAAAGUGAUUGAGUUUUAUGCUUCAUUAAGAACACAAAAACUUCCAAAAAUCCAGAAGGUGGCACAUAGGGGGCUGGUGGUGUUUGGCUUUACGUGUGUGAAGAGGCUGUGAUGAACACCGACAAAACAUUCUACAGCGCAGCUGAGUGAUGUACACCUCACGUGUCAUGAGAAAUACCACGACUAACACCAAACUUUGAUGCACAGAUGGCCAUUUGAGCCAGGACAGGAAGCAAGACAGUGGCCAGCUGUGCUUAUCUACAUGGUUUUGCACAGUAAACAUUCUGAACACAUACCACAUAUGAGUUUGGGGGCUUUUUUUUUUUUUUAUUUAAGGCUAACACUGUGUAAUACUGAGGGACAAAAUAGCACAAACACUGAUCAUUUGGUAGAAGCCAGCAGCUGGACAAGGGUCAUCGUUUAUUUAACUCUCCUGAGAGCGUUGCAAUCCUGUGUAACAUUGCAUUAAAAUUUGGAACACUACGUACAG